ACCUCAUGAUUUGGGCAUCAGGAUAGCUUUCCAUUAAACCUCUCCCACGCUUUAAAUAAUGGUUCUGCAUUCAAUUGCCAAAAGUUUACAAUCUUAUCCUAUUUUUGAAGCC
rnacentral:snoRNA from 1 species